GGGCCGUUAGCUCAAUUGGUAGAGCAGUAGACUCUUAAUCUAUUGGUUGAAGGUUCGAGUCCUUCACGGCCCACCA
rnacentral:tRNA from 2 species